rnacentral:lncRNA from 1 species
UUUAUUUUAUUUGCACUUUGAUGUUUUAUUAUUUAUUAUUUAUUAUUUGUUAUUUUAUUUAUUUACUACUUUAUUUAUUUUAUUUUAUUUAAUUAUUUUAUUAUCUUUCUUAAUGAGAAAGAAACUAACGGAAUAUUUUCCGUUCCGUUUCUUUCGCAUUACGUUGGGCGGGUUCCGCUUCUCUCUCGUAAGAGAAAAAGCGUUAAAUCCCCUUUCUCUUUUCCUCCUCUGGAAUAAAACAGAGCAGGUAGAAAAGAUUUUUGAUCAUUGGUUAAUCUCUAUCCUUUUAUUCUUUUAUCUUUCAUUUUUGAACAUUCCCCUUAUCCACUGGGUGUUGAGAAUCUUCGUCAACCUCCUUCACUGAUCGUGCUCGCAAAGGAGGAGAAUUCGGUCGUACCUUGGGUGUUAUUUCCUUAAUUCCGCACGUAAGGACGGGAAUACGCUUAAGGGCAGUGCCCAUCGCACGUUCCGGAUAAGAUCAUAUCUUUAUUGGAAUAUUUGCGUCAUCUGUAAGUUUGAUUUUAUUUAUUGUUAUCACAAAAUUAGUUAGAUUUUAAUCACAAAUUAGAUUCCUAUGCGAUUAUUUUGUUCCAACAAUCUAAGGCGUAUAUCCCUAUCUGAUUGUGAUUAAAAUCUGACGGUGCUAAUCUAUUAAAAUAUAUACAUAUAUAUUUUUGCAUAUAAUUUUGUUUGACAACUUUGGUAUGCUUGUCAUUCAAAUUUAAAUAAAUUGGGAUUAGCAUUUUUAAUUUCUAAUUGAUAUUGUUUAUCUGCAAAUUAUUAUCUUUUCUUAUUAUUAUUAAUUUUUUUUUACCGUACGGAUCCGAAACGUGGAUUUUUUUUUGCUACAGUAAUGAAAUUUAUUUAUGUACUGUGUUUGAGUUUGCUAUUGUAAACCCUAAAAAAAAAAAAUUUUUACUGUUUUGUUAUAAAAUUUUUUUUUUAAAAAAAACACUUGUACGGAUUAAAAAUUUUUGCUACUGUAAUUGUUUUUUAAGUGUGCGGUUUCUUUUUAAGUUUAAGUUUAAUUUAUUUAUAUAAAUAUACUAUUUUUUGAGAAAAAAUAUAUAUAGAUAUAUUUACUGUUUUAUAAAAAAAAAAAACUGUGGAAUUAUAUUGUUUCAAUACAGACAUUGUACGGAUUGUUUUAAAAAAAAAACUGCUACAGUACAUACAUUUAAAAAGUUAAACAAGUUUGCCACAGUGAAAAAAUUUUUUAAGUGUAAGGAUUUUCAUUAAAGUUUUAAAUUAAAAAAAAAAAAAGGAUUUUGCUACAGUAAAAUUACUUUAUUGUUGACGGUUUCAAAGUUUUUGCUACAGCAAAUAAAGCCCUUUGAAGAAAAAAAAAAUCCCUUUAAGUAGGACUCGAAACCGACAACCAGCGUUCACUUGUUUUAUAAAUGAAUAUUCUAACCAUCAACCAGUUCAUUAGUGUUGUCUCUUAUACUGUAUCAGCUCUAUUUAUAAUUUGUUUGCCGCAUAAAGAGUGUUUGAUUGUAUAUAUCUGUUCAAAAUUACUUAAAUGAAAUCAAACAUUUAAAUUGUUUGGUACAUUUAUUUGCUGUUGAAUCAAACUUUAUUCAACAUGAUUAAAUCUCGUGAUUUUAAAUUUUAGUGUAUCUCAGAAAUUGUGGGGGGAGCGCCUUUAUCAGUUUGAUAAAUUUUGAUAUUAUAAUUGCUCUCGUGAUUUUAUCCUAAUGUUCAUCUUGGAAACGAAUUUUGCAAAUUCUAAGAUUGGGAGGUAAAUUAUUUUGAGACAUAAAUUUAUUAGAUGGUUAUUUUCAUAAUAUUACUUAUUUGAUUUUAUCAGAUCUGAACAGAACUUUGCAGAUUAUUUGACGAACGGCCUGAAUAGGACUAAGGUCCUGAAGUCAUCGAGGGGGAUGGGACUUGCCCGUAAUGGGCCUUCCUGCAGUGGGAACCCAACCUUUGUGAUAGGAGAUCCCUUGAAGAAGGUUCAAUGUGGUAAAAACAAGCUGUCAGGUUGGCCAAGAGCACUUUCUACAAAUUUUAUAAAUGAGCUUUAGCUCCAAUCCCAUCCCUAUGGUGAGUAGUGUUCUGUGUAGUGGAUCAGGUUGAGCUGAGAGCUCUUAAUGGGAUCCAAGGCGAUAAUUUUCGCGAGAUGUGACUCUACACACAUCCCUGGAGGAAACCACCUAUAUAAGAGUAUCCGUAUGUGGCCGCGGCUAUGUGAAUGGGCUAUACAUAGAAACUCUUAUGAAAAAUCAAGGUACUGUGCAUGGCCAUUAACGCACAGACCCGCGACGGAGAAUUCUGUACUGUGUGUGUGGUAGUUGAAGUCAGGGCCAAAGGAACGUAGUUCAAGACCUGGUUCACUCCGAUUCCUUCUGAUGGAAACUAUUUACACUAAGUGAGGUUAAGUUUUUUAAAAACACCUCACCCAUUGCAUAGUAUAAAACACCCAGUAAAUUUGAUUUUAAUUCGUAAUUUUAAAAUUUUGAGUUUUGUGGGGGAUUGUUGGUGAAAAACUCAAAAUUUUGAGUUUGAAUUUAUUUUAUUUGAACUUUAAAUUAUUUAUUAUUUAUUUAUGAUUCUAUUUAUUUACUACUUAGAAAGAAACUAACGGAAUAUUUUCCGUUCCGUUUCUUUCGCAUUACGUUGGGCGGAUUCCGCUUCUCUCUCGUAAGAGAAAAAGCGUUAAAUCCCCUUUCUCUUUUCCUCCUCUGAUAUAACAGAGCAGGUAGAAAAGAUUUUUGAUCAUUGGUUAAUCUCUAUCCUUUUAUUCUUUUAUCUCUCAUUUUUGAACAUUCCCCUUAUCCUUAUCCACUGGGCGUUGAGAAUCUCCGUCAACCUCCUUCACGAUCGUGCUCGCAGAAUGAGGAAUUCUGGUCGUACCUUGGGGUGUUAUUUCCGGUUAAUCCCGCACGUAAGGACGGGAAUACGCCUUAGGGCAGUGCCUCGCACGCUUCCGGAUUAAUAUGUUGAUAUUCUUUUUCCACAAUUUUGGGAUUUAGCGAUUAUCUGUGAGUUGAUUUAUUUGCGUUUAUCUGUAUGUUUGUUUGUUUUUAUUUUUAUUUUUAUCACAAAGUUAGUUAGAUUUUAAUUGCAAUCGGAUUCCUAUGCGAUAUUUGUUCC